GACGAACGCUGGCGGCGUGCCUAAUACAUGCAAGUAGAACGCACAGUUUAUACCGUAGCUUGCUACACCAUAGACUGUGAGUUGCGAACGGGUGAGUAACGCGUAGGUAACCUGCCUGGUAGCGGGGGAUAACUAUUGGAAACGAUAGCUAAUACCGCAUAAUAUUGAUUAUUGCAUGAUAAUUGAUUGAAAGAUGCUAUUGCAUCACUACCAGAUGGACCUGCGUUGUAUUAGCUAGUAGGUGAGGUAACGGCUCACCUAGGCGACGAUACAUAGCCGACCUGAGAGGGUGAUCGGCCACACUGGGACUGGGACACGGCCCAGACUCCUACGGGAGGCAGCAGUAGGGGAUCUUCGGCAAUGGACGAAAGUCUGACCGAGCAACGCCGCGUGAGUGAAGAAGGUUUUCGGAUCGUAAAGCUCUGUUGUAAGAGAAGAACGGGUGUGAGAGUGGAAAGUUCACACUGUGACGGUAUCUUACCAGAAAGGGACGGCUAACUACGUG
rnacentral:rRNA from 1 species